GGGAACCCUCCCGGACUGGACCGGAGGCCUGGGCACCAAAGGUCAGAUGGUCAGGCAAGUGUACCAGAAGGGGCUGAGCGGGGAGGAGACCAUGACGAGGUUGCUGUCUCCUGACUUCUCCGCUGAUCCUCAGGGCAAAUGAGGCCAGGGUGGGCCUUCCUCCCGCCCUGACCUGGCAGCGCCUCCAGAAUGGCACCAGCUGUGGAAGGCUGACUCACAGCGAAGCAGGGUGGCAAGGCUCAUCUUGGAGGUAUCUGGAGUGUCACUUGCAGCUGCUUCCUGGAGCCACCUGAUCCCUGUAUUAGCUGUGGAGACAGCUGCUCCACCAGAUGCCACUUCCAGAGUCCUGUGCCCGAGCCAGACCAGAGAAGCCGAGUCACAGGGUGAGCUUCUCCCAGGUGUUCUGAGUUUGAUUACAAAGGCAGGGAUACUGGUCAGCUUUCCCUUGCUGUGAAAAACUUCCCAAGAAAAUCAACUUAGGAGGAGAAUAGGAUUAUUCUGACUCACAAUUCCAGAGUCCAUGGUUGCUCGGCUGGGUUGUCUGGGUCUUGGGGUGCGGCAAGACAUCAUGGAGCGUGGCAGAGCAAAGCUGCUCACCUCACAGCACCCAGGAAGCAGAGAGAGAGAGAAAGGGGAAGGAAGCAGGAUACCAACAGCCCCUUCAAGGGCCUGCACCACUUCCUUCCCCCAGGCCCCAUCUCUUAAAGGUCCCACACCUCCCAGGAUCGCUGUCACCAGGGACCAAGCCUUCAACACAGGAGCCUUUGGGGGAUACUGAGGAUCCCAACCACACUGGCUAGAAAUCUGUUAGCUGUAUCGAAGAUGCAGAUGGUGAUCACAGUGACUACAGAGUGAGGAAGGUUAUAAAUGCGUCUAAAUAAGUAGCUUAGACACAGUGCCACAAGGCUCCUGUGUGCUGUCCCCCUAAGCACAAUUGAAAAGUCUCAGCAUCUGUAUUUUACGAAUAAGUAACUAAGGCACAAAGAAGGUGGGGAACUUUCAAAAGGUCACACAGCUAGUUAGUGACAGGCUAUAGUUUCAGCCCAGCUCUGACUUCAGGUUCCAUGCUUCCAAACUACACUAUUCUGCCUCCUAAAACAUAUUUUAAACUAACCAUCUGUCCAGUGCUGUCUCAUUUUUAAUCAAGCAAUACUUUUUUAGAGAUGGAAAGGCUGCUGUAGGUGGCAGGAGAAUGGGAGUGGUGGCCUGGUUGUAGGCCUGCCACCUGGGCACCUCUAUGGCAACUUAAUGAAGGGG
rnacentral:lncRNA from 1 species